GGAGAAACUGUGACUCAGUGGUAAAGCAUCUGCUUGACAUGCAAAAGAUAACCAAUUUCAAUUCCUGGCAUCUCCA
rnacentral:tRNA from 1 species